AAAACAUUAAGGGGCGGAAAGCAGCACAUUUGGGUUAAAAAACAAGUUUUCUUUUCUCUCAGUCACUGUAACAGCUAGGAGGGCUCUUGGGUGGAGGGUGAAUGAUGAGCAACACUUGACCAAGUGACUGCACACUGCACUUGUAUACACACUGCAAGAACUCCACAGACCUCAUUGGAUCUAUUCAUUUGGCACUCAUAACAAGAUGAUGGGUACCCAAGUCCUAAUCUUACAAAUACCUGCAGUGCUGGAGUUGAGUUGUGAAGAGAUCUGCCUGGGGACCCUCUAGCAGCGGAUAAUGUAUGUGAAGGGAGGACAAAGUGCAAGGAUACCUCCAACCUUCCCAUUCAGUGAAAAAGAAUUUGAGUAGGGGCAGUAUCACCAGCCAUGCCCCUGAAAGGAAAGCCCUCAGGUGUGUGAUGGGAGAUCAGAUCAGUUAUGUGAUCGGAGAAACAGACUGGAGAACAUUUAAGAAAGAAAAGCUAAACUACAAAAGUGCAACAGGCAUGGCUCUUAUUGCAAUCAAAUCCUCCAAAUCCAGUAGAACAGAACUGAAGCUCUUAAGAAGCCAAAGAAUACUUCUGAAUUUCCAUCGUUCCCUGAAGCAAGCACCAGAGCCCAGCAAAGAAACAUUUCUCACCUCAAAAGAACUGGGCAGGGAAGGGAGACCUACGUACCACAAAUUGUCAGAAAACUCGAAUCUGUAGUACUUGUACUAUGGGAAGGAAGAGGGGAAAGAAGAGCAAAAUGCUUCCUCACAUGACAGGAUGAUUAGAGGUGUGCAUGAAGGAGAAAGGAGGGCUUGAUGCUCAGCUAGGUUAAUCAGCUCUGAUUAAAACACUUGGAUGUACAGUCCAAUGAAUUCUGAGUGUGUCUGCCCAUUUGUAUGUCCAGCUCUGCCUGAGGUUACAUCAGUUUAGCACAGCUGUCCAGUUGAAACUGUACUGCACAGCAGCAAUAAACAAACAAAGCCCCUGAGCUUUCCA
rnacentral:lncRNA from 1 species